rnacentral:rRNA from 1 species
UGGCUGCGGCCGAUUAGGUAGAUGGUGGGGUAACGGCCCACCAUGCCGAUAAUCGGUACAGGUUGUGAGAGCAAGAGCCUGGAGACGGUAUCUGAGACAAGAUACCGGGCCCUACGGGGCGCAGCAGGCGCGAAACCUUUACACUGCACGACAGUGCGAUAGGGGGACUCCGAGUGUGAGGGCAUAUAGCCCUCGCUUUUCUGAACCGUAAGGUGGUUCAGGAACAAGGACUGGGCAAGACCGGUGCCAGCCGCCGCGGUAAUACCGGCAGUCCAAGUGAUGGCCGAUAUUAUUGGGCCUAAAGGUUCGUAUCCGA